GAGGAAUAUUGGUCAAUGGGCGAGAGCCUGAACCAGCCAAGUCGCGUGAAGGAUGACUGUCUUAUGGAUUGUAAACUUCUUUUAUACGGGAAUAACAAGAGCCACGUGUGGCUCCCUGCAUGUACCGUAUGAAUAAGCAUCGGCUAACUCCGUGCCAGCAGCCGCGGUAAUACGGAGGAUGCGGGCGUUAUCCGGAUUUAUUGGGUUUAAAGGGUGCGUAGGCGGCCUGUUAAGUCAGCGGUGAAAUCUAGGAGCUUAACUCCUAAAUUGCCAUUGAUACUGGCGGGCUUGAGUGUAGAUGAGGUAGGCGGAAUGCGUGGUGUAGCGGUGGAAUGCAUAGAUAUCACGCAGAACUCCGAUUGCGAAGGCAGCUUACUAAGGUACAACUGACGCUGAAGCACGAAAGCGUGGGUAUCAAACAGGAUUAGAUACCCUGGUAGUCCACGCAGUAAACGAUGAUAACUGGGCGUAUGCGAUAUACAGUAUGCUCCUAAGCGAAAGCGUUAAGUUAUCCACCUGGGGAGUACGCCGGCAACGGUG
rnacentral:rRNA from 1 species